AGAGAUUUGUUAUUCUGGGGAACAAAUCGACAAACAAGACACACAUUGAGAAGACGAUAUUGUGAAUGUAAAACACCUCAUAGAAAAAGCACAAUGUCUUCAACUUGCUCUCAGCUCAGCUUCAUUAGCAGAGUACAGAACAAGAGAACAUCUCCAGUAAUAAGUCACUGGCGUGAUUCUGGUCUGGGCCAGUAGCGGGUGAUGGGGGAUGCAGAAGCAAAACCUGCGUUUGCAAUCUUUGGCUUAGAAACUGGUGAUAUCAUCGUUAAAAGACUGUUGCAAUAACUAAAACCAACCCCACUGGCAUCCGCAUCAGGGAGGCAAAGGCUGAGGGACUAAGAGUGAAUAAUUCCUCUGCACUUCAGAGAGGGUCGGGGGUGAGACCCGAGGAAUUUCACACGAUGCAAACUCGGGCCCUACCUGCUCAGUGGCGAGAAGAGCUGCUAUCAAUCAGGCAUCUUUCACAGGGGUCUAAAAGACAAAACCUGAAUGGGGAUCGAGGGAGUCUCAAAUGACGAAAGUUAUACGCCGAGGGAACAGAACUCGCUCAAGCUGCCGUUCAUCCACGCUUGCCUGCUCAGCAUAUGGGACUUAAGCACAUGCUGAAAUGCUAAGCUGUAUGGAGGAGGACUUAAACACGCAUAAAUGAUUAGCUGAACCGGGACUUGUGACUCUCUUUUGAUAACCCCUCUGCGUGCGGCUCUCCACCUCCUAUGCCUGUAUGGAAAAAAUCUGUCAUUCAGAAGAUCCAUUAUAAUUUAGAAUUUGGCUCCACAAGCCACUUGUUGAAGUUUAUCAACUUUCCCCAAAUAAGACAUGUUGAGUACUGACAGCAUGAAUCAAUUGCCCAUGGAUGGUUUCAUGGACUGACCUAAGCUUGAGGUUAGACUUAGCCUAGGAAAAGUGAGUGGAAAUGGCUCUUCGUAGGCCUGAAGGAAAUCUGGUUGAAAUGAAUGGGAAGACUCGCUAGAGUGGGCUGCGUUAUCUGGCUUCCUAGGAAAAACUCUGUGAAGACCCUUAGAUCAGUGUUACUCAAGAUUUCAGCCCAGCGGGCUGGAUAAGUGGCAUGGGGCCAAUCUGCAGGGCGGAUCUAGCAGUGUGUUAACAUGUGGGUCAGUCUGCAGGUGUGAGCCAGUUUGCAGGCUCGCUUCAGCACACCUGAUCCAGCCCUGGAGCGACUCUGUGCACGGACAUGCAGGGCCGUGUCAUCUGGCCCACAGGGCUUCCCCCCCCCCCCGGGGCCAGAAAUUUGGAAGUAAGGGAGCAGUGAUGGUGUUAAUCACUGUGGCUCUGCAAUUCAUGCUGCCACUGUUUCCCCCCCCCCACCAAAUUUCUGGACCUGUGUGGGAUGAUACAGCCCUGUGGGCCAGAUUCAGCCUGUGGAUGGGAGGCUGAGCACCACCACCGCCUUGGAUGAAAGCAACUGAAGCAAAGUCUAUUAAGGUUUUCAAGCUGUACCCAUUGCCAAAGCAUGUGAAAUGAACCUAAUUGACCAUUAAUAAUUUGUGUCAUUUCAACAAAUACAGGAGGAACACAUUUAUCUCAUGGUAAAUCAAACAAUGCUGCAAUGCAGAGGCUUGUAAUUACACUUCUUCUGUAGAUAUACCUGUAUUUAUAGCAUAAAAAAGAGAGAGCAAAAAGAUUGCUAGUGACCGUAUGAAUGUGGGGCAGCGAGAGUCAGAGAGAGAAGCACACUAUGGAGCCAACUCUGCUCUCCUUUAUGGAAUCAGUGGUGAUUGCGUCCAGGUGACUUAGCAGAGUUUGGCUCAUAAUUAAAAACCAAGUCAGCAAUACCAACAACUUUUACAUUUUUGUCUCACCCUGACCCCCUCCCCUACCAAACUCCAAAUGAAAUCUGUGACCAGCCUGUACCAGGAGCUGCCUGGUUUACCCUCCAUGUAUCUCAGCUCUACAAGUCUGUGGGAAAGUAGCAGAGCUAAAGACCCGUCCAUCUAUUCCCCCUUCUUGUUUGGCCCUUCUCUUCCCCCCCAUAGUUUCAUGGAUGUUAGAGGCUGGAAGGGACCUUACAGAUCAUCGGGUCCAGCCCCCCUGCACGUGAGCAGGAAAGACCCCUGGGAUCAGAUGAUCUCAGCAAGAUGGGCGCCAAGACAAUUUUUGAAGAUUGCCAGGGUGGAUGACUGUACCAGCUCUGCGGGGAGCCUGUUCCAAACCCUCAGCACUCAGCUUGUAAGGAAGUUUUUCCUUAUGUCUACCCUGAAGCAAUCUUCAGUCAGCUUGCGCCCAUUAUUUCUUGUCCUCUCCUGGAGGGCCUUGGUGACUAGAUGCUCCCCCAAACCCUGAUACACACCCCUGAUAUACUUAUAAUCUGCCACCAAGUCCCCCCCCCCGAGCCUUGUCUUCUCCAAGCUGAACAAUCCCAAGUCCCUCCAUCUCUCCUCAUACGUCUUGGUCUCCAAGCCUCUAAUCAUGCAUGGCCCUCCUCUGGACUCUCUUGAGCUUCUCCACAUCCUUCUUGAAGUGCAGCUCCCAGAACUGGACACAGUACUCUAGUUGCGGUCUCACCAAGGCUGAGUAAAGCGGGAGGACGACAUCCUUUGCCUUGCUCAAGAUGCCUUGGUGGAUGCAUGCCAGUGUUUGGUUAUGGUUAGCUCUGCCAGCUACGGCAUCACAUUGGUGGCUCAUGUUCAUUUUGUUGUGAGUCAUGACACCCAGGUCUCAUUCAGCUGCAGUACUGGCAUCAGAGCACCGCUGAGCCUGUAAGUGUGUUGUGGGUUAUUUCUCCCCAGAUGGAGCACUUUCUAUUUCUCUGCAUUAAGCAACAUCAGGUUGAGGUCUGCCCAUUUCACGACCCUGUCCAGCUAGGCCCAUACUGCCAUCCUGUCUUCGAGCAUAGUAACGCUCCCCCAUAGCUUGAUGUUGUCAGCAAACUUUGGCAGAUUGCUUGUUAUACUUGAAUCCAAAUACUUAAUGAACAUGUUGAAGAGCACUUGUCCAAGUACUGACCCCCGAGGGAUGCCACUGGUCACUCUCCACCAUGAAGACUCAGUUUUGUCAGUCAGUACCUUUGAGUCCUACCAUGGAGCUAGGUUUCCUAGCCACCAGACUGUGAAGUGGUCGAAGCCGCAUUUUCCCAAUUUGACCGUGAGGACAUCAUGAGAGACCAGGUCAAAGGCUUUUUUGAAGUCCAAGUAUAUGGCAUCAAGCUCAUUUCCGUUAUCCAGGUGGCAAGCAACCUGACUGUAGAAGAAAACGAGGUUGGUCUGGCAUGACCUGCCCGUGAUGAAGCCAUGUUGGCUAUCCUUCAGGAUACUGCCUUCAGUUAGCCCGUGCGUGAUGGUUUCUUUGAUGAUUUUCUCCAGGAUUUUACCUGGGAUUGAGGUCAGAUGAAUUGGCCUGUAGUUUCCUGGGUCCUCCCUUCUCUCUUUCAUAAAGAUAGGUACUACAGUGGCUUUUUUCUAGUCUUCUAGGACCUCUUUGGGACCCACUUAGGGUGUAAGUUGGUUUGACAGCCUGGUUUGUUACGGGUCCUCUUUUUGACUAUCAAGGUAAGGGAGUCCUAAGAAGGUACCUUAGUACAUCCUUAGUUUCCUGAAUGAGCACACAGGGCAAGUAAAAAAUUAGUAGGAACCCAAAAUAUUGAGAGAUUUUUAGGUCAAUGGAAUUACUCUCGAUUGCUACUAGAGCAAUCAGACGCAGAAUUCAGUGUCCAUCUGUUCUCACCUCUUUAUGCUUGUGUCACUGAAAAAUGAUUGUUGACCCAAUAGACGAAGCUAAGUGCAGCUGAGAGUGGUGAUGACCUGUUUGUCUAAACUGGAGACAAUAGACCGAAGCUGAGAACCAGGCAUGAUGGGCUCAUGAGGAAUCACUACUCAGUCAGGAUGUUAAAACACUUUAUUAUUUUCCACAACUGUAGGUCCCUUCAGCAAUCUCCUUUUCUGUUCAGUCAUAUCUUAAAAAGCAAAGUUCAUGUAUUAGUUUAUACAAUACUAGCUGGUGUCUUGUAUUAAUAGGAUGUGAAAUGUUGCUUUAAAGAAGGGUUUUUAGGCACACAAGACAGGAGGGGUGUGAUCUAAUUAUCCAAGAGCAGACUUAGGAGCUAUUAGCAACCAAAAAAUCAUAGACUGAUGGCUUUCUUGAUGGCCCCAGGCCUGUCACUUAACUUCAUCUUAAAAUAAGUAUAUAAACACACUGAACUAUUUGCCAGGAAGCUGCGAGAACCAAUUAGUUAAUUCUGCAUAGGGUUUUGAAAAGAGAAAAUAGUAGCUAUAGUCAAAUCUAAUUUCCCCAUUAUUAGUAUUGGCAUUAAUCCAAUUGGCCACUUGCACCGAGACGUUGUAAACUGAAGUUAACACUGUCAAAGUUAGUGACUCAGGUACUAAAUAGCAUGGCCUGAUUUUUCAGAGACACAGAGCAUUUGCCACUUCCAUUGGUUUAAAUAUUAAAUACAGACAGAUAAGCUGUAUUAGUAGCUUAUGUGACUAGUAGGAUCCAUGUCAUUGUUUUGAUGAAAUAAAUCAUUUUAUCACCUGCUUUACGAUUACUGUAGGGUUUUGUACCUUUGCUAACUAAGGGUCACGAAGCAAAUAAAGAGAAAGAUCCUUGCCUAUGCCAUCACUGCGGCUCAAUUUCAGCAAUCACAACAGUAAUUGCAUGGCUCCUCCAGAACAAGUAGCCUUUGGAUCGUCUCCAAGAGAAAUCUACUGUUAUCAGUGGCUAGCCACCUGCGGAGGAACCUGCAAAGGCUUAUUGCUAGAUAGCAUUUAUCUUUGAAACAAAAAAUAGUCCAAGAAAUAGAUGCUCAGACAUUUCCAUCAUUAAUUCAGGAUGGUCCAAUUCAGUGAAGAACCUGUAUAAAGGCUCAUAUGUCUUGCCUAUGUCUGUCAUGGGUCUGUCACGUGCGUGAGUAACUGAAGAACGUAAGUUAGUAGAGCCCUAAACAAUAAUUCUUAUCUGUUUCCAAAGACAGGCCAGUGUUUUGGAGCGAUGGUUCAAUCUCGUUUGAAUGGACCAGAGGAAACAACAGUACGAACAGCUACUGACUCAUGUUGCUUGAGCCCCUCCCAUGGAAGUUUCCAUUGACUCCUCAAUGUGAACUAGGAAAUCAUGGUCUCGCUCUUAAUUUGUUCUUGCUAUUAAAGCUUUAGCUACUUUUAUUUACAGUUUCAAAGCUGUCAAACUGAUAAUAGCUAAAGGCUACCUUUUCUUAUAUUCAGAUACAUUGAACCUUAUUGGAAUAUUAAAAAUAUUUAAAUGGCAAAAAUUA